rnacentral:rRNA from 1 species
GACGAACGCUGGCGGCGUGCUUAACACAUGCAAGUCGAGCGGUAAGGCCCUUUCGGGGGUACGACGAGCGGCGAACGGGUGAGUAACACGUGGGUGACCUGCCCUCAGCUCUGGGAUAAGCCUGGGAAACUGGGUCUAAUACCGGAUAUGACUCCAUGACGCAUGUUGUGGGGUGGAAAGCCUUGUGCGGCUGAGGAUGGGCCCGCGGCCUAUCAGCUUGUUGGUGGGGUGANGGCCUACCAAGGCGACGACGGGUAGCCGGCCUGAGAGGGCGACCGGCCACACUGGGACUGAGACACGGCCCAGACUCCUACGGGAGGCAGCAGUGGGGAAUCUUGCGCAAUGGGCGAAAGCCUGACGCAGCGACGCCGCGUGAGGGAUGACGGCCUGGUUGUAAC